GGGGGAUACCAGCAUGAACCAAACCUUGUCUGAUCCUACAGAGUUGCUGAGUGCUGCAGUGGCCAGAUCCUUUCCCAGGCUCUGUGAUCUCAUGGACAGGCUGGAGAGGUAGGAACAGCAAAAGUUCACACCCAGCUAGGGUCAGGUUGGCUGGGCUGCAUCCUACAGGAGACGUAAUUCCCACAGGGAGGAAUGACAGAAUGCCAGGGACAAAGGAGGCUUCCACUGCCCUCUGGGAGAAGCUACAAAACAUCCC
rnacentral:lncRNA from 1 species